rnacentral:rRNA from 1 species
CAAUAGCGUAUAUUAAAGUUGUUGCAGUUAAAAAGCUCGUAGUUGGAUUUGUGGUUCGUCCCGCCGGCUGGGUCAUUGACUUUUGCUGUGCUGGUCGUCCAUCCUUGGGUGGAAUCUGUGUGGCAUUAGGUUGUCGCGCAGGGGAUGCCCAUCGUUUACUGUGAAAAAAUUAGAGUGUUCAAAGCAGGCUUAUGCCGUUGAAUAUAUUAGCAUGGAAUAAUGAUAUAGGACCUUGGUACUAUUUUGUUGGUUUGCGCAUCGAGGUAAUGAUUAAUAGGGACAGUUGGGGGUAUUCGUAUUCCAUUGUAAGAGGUGAAAUUCUUGGAUUUUUGGAAGACGAACUACUGCGAAAGCAUUUACCAAGGAUGUUUNCAUUA